CAGCCCUGGAGGUAGCUAUGUCCUGGGAAGAGACCAGCCCUGGAGGUAGCUAUGUCCUGGGGAGAGAGACCAGCCCUGGAGGUAGCUAUGUCCUGGGGAGAGAGCCCAGCCCCAGGAGAGAAGAGUGGGGGCAACAGAGAGAGAGAAACAGAGAGAGGAAAAGGGAGAGUAAGAUAGAAAGAAACCACCUAAAAGGAAGCAAUUCCCAAACCUUCCAUAACAAAGCCAUCACCUACAGAGAGAUGAACCUGGAUUAGAGUCCCCUAAGCAAGCUGAUCCUGAGGCUCUGUUCACAAACACAAACAGGCCCCACAGAGCCCCAGGACAGCAACACAAUUAGACCCAACCAAAUCAUGAGAAAACAAAAGGAUAAUUAAUUACUUGACACAUUGGAAAGAAUUUACAAAAUAACAGAGCAAACUAGAAUGCUAUUUGGUCCUAAACAGAGAGUACACAGUGGCAGAAUACCUGACCAGUGUGACUGACCCAAAUUGAAGGAAAGUUUUGACUAUGUACAGACUCAGUGAUCAUAGCCUUGCUAAUGAGAAAGGCCACCGUAGGCAGACCUGGCUCUCAAGAGAAGACAGGCUAUGUGCACACUGCCCACAAAAUGAGGUUGAAACUGAACUGCACUUCCUAACCUCCUGUCAAAUGUAUGACCAUAUUAGAGACACAUAUUUCACUCAGAUUACAUAGACCCACAAAGAAUUCGAAACAAAUCCAAUUUUGAUAAACUCUCAUAUCUACUGGGUGAAAUACCACAGUGUGCCAUCACAGCAGCAAGAUUUGUGACCUGUCGCCACAAGAAAAGGGCAACCAGUGAAGAACAAAC
rnacentral:lncRNA from 1 species